GGCAUCUCAGAGCUCGGAGUCUGGACGAUCCUAAAUCUGCAGCCCGGAACAAUGUAAAUUGAAAGGAUAUUUUCUACGACAUCUCUCAGCACAGAGAUGUGUCCUUUGGGUUAUGCAGAAAUGAAGGCUGCAUCAAAAGAACCGAGGGCCCGGGAACAAAGCCAGCCUAACACUUUCUUUGGCACAUUAGCCAUUUGUCUCAGCCGUGACAAAAAAGUGCCCAAGCAAAUCAAAGGAGAAAAUAAAGGCAAACAGACGCACUUUCAGAAGCAACUGGAGGGUGGAGACGUUUCUCGGAAACCAAGUACAGCCACUGGAAAUAUUUACCUGAGCCUGAUGGGACCUGGAAGGUCAAGGCACGUUUAACACUCGAGAUGCAAAUGCUCGAGAGAUCUCAGGAAACCCCAACGGGUUCUCAACGCAAGUAACAUUCAUAUCGCUAGGAACCCCAACCGUCCUAUCAUAGAGGUGAAGAAAUGGAAGGAGCAAGGAGAUAAAUGCAAACAAUGUAUAAAAUCGAACCACUCUGGACCAUCUGAGGUUGAGCCAAGCAGAUCUUACUAAACAUUGAACAAAACAAGCAUAUGAACACAGACCAGCCAUGACCUGGUCCCCAACCCCUACCCUCCUGGGCACCUUUCUGAUUUUGCCCUUCGGUGGACAAGGAUGUGUUAAUAGCACACGGGGAGGAAUGUUUCCAUUGCUUGCUCACGGUCACUUAGGCUCACCUUGUUUGUUCUAUUCUGCUCUCCGUGACCGCGGUGUCUUACAAAGUCACCAUACUUGGUGAGUUUUCAAAGCCACCAGGUGGCGAGUCCACGGGCUUUCAUCUAAAAUACUGACAACCUCAGGCAAAAACUCUGUAAGGUAGCACUUCAGGUACAUAGAAAUGUAACAAUAUCGGAACUGAAGAAAAACAAAUGUUCCAGCCGACUAGGUCCGGCACAUCCUCCCCUCCGGAGAGAUAAACUGACUUUGAACAAAAAACUUUUUUUUAAUGGUUCUCAAAAAGGACAAAACUUUGAAAUGUCAGGCUUUAUGUAAGAGUAUUCGAAGUCUACUUAGCAUUAGUGACUAAGCCAUGAAAAUGAAGGAGUCAGCAAAAUAAUGUCCCAGUUCCACACACCUUUCCUAUUGAAAAUUCCCAUCCUCCUAUCAUGUAACUUUAAGAACAAUCUUUGGUUGACCUCUGCUUGGGGCCAAGUGGCUCUUUCAACAAAAUGGCGAUUCUGGCUUUUAAAAUAUAUAAAUGCACAGAGCACAGGGCGAUUGUAGGGCGGUGGAGAUGCUCUGUAGGGAACGAUAAUGUGACAAUGGAUAUCUGUCAGAACCUCUGUGAGUACAACACCAAUAACGUGAGUUCAAAACUUGUCUGACGAGACUAUGCCAAAGUGAAUUCGUCAGCUAUCAUGAGAGUAGCCAUGGGGCGGGGGUUGGGGAAAUGGCUCAGCAGUUAGGAGCAUUGGUACCCAUCUAGUAGCUCACAGAUAUCUCUCACUCCAGUUUUGGGGAUCUGACAUCUCUAGCCACCAUGAGCACCAGGCAUGAGCAUGAUACAUAGACAUAGAUAUAUCCAGGGAAAACACUUAAAAGAAGAUAAGUUAAAAAAAAACAAGAAACAAAAACAAAGAGUUCCCUUGGGGUGGAUGCUGUGGACAACAAUAGGAUCUCUAUGGAUGGAAGAAGACGGUAGAGAAAAUCUCCCCAUGCCCCUUUUCAUCUCGCUGUGCACAUGAAACUUCUUUAUGAAAGGCCUAUGAAAAUGUGUAUCGGGCAUUAUGUAUAAAUCUACUACAGCCUCCCACGGUGACAGAAUUCUGCUGAUCCAGGUUCUUCAACAGCCUUGAACUGUUCUGACUGGUUGUGAAGUCAGGAACACUUAUUGAAUAAUGACGCUGGUUGUGUGUCCUUGGGUUGCUUGCAUGGUUCGAGAAAAUGAGGACAACAGUGACUCUUCACUGUCUGGGUCAGAGACCCUAGACACCCAGCAUUCAUUUCCCUCAUAUAUAAACUUGGUGCCGUACAGCGUUUCACUAGUGGGCAUUCGAAAUGACAUUUAGAUUUUACAUUAAAAUGAGUUAAUCAUAUACUAAAACCAAAA
rnacentral:sRNA from 1 species